UCCCGCCGUUCCCGAGUUUUCCCACGUUAUCCGCGUCGGAGCGUGAUGUGUCACAUCGCCGUUCGCGGACUUCUUCCCGUUAUCGAUGCACUUCUCUCGGGCUUCCAGAGGCUUCUUCCCGUUUUUGGAAAGGCGCUCGGAGAGUUUCCGCGCCCAGUGCGCAAAGUUAUCAAAGGUGCUUUUCUCCAGAUCCUCAGAGGAAACUUUAAUAUUCCCCGUGUACCACAUGACCCACCAGAAAAGACUGAGGAAAACUAUUAAUGAGCCAGUAUAUAUUAGAAAGUCUCCAUAAAAUUUGCCGUCCAGUCGCAGAUUUGCAAAAAUCCCGACUAACAGCAAGGCGAACCCGGUUAUAUCAAACGCGACCCCGAGGGCGAAUAACGCGGCGCAGCCCCCGACACACUCUGGGGCCAUUAUACACCUGAGACAAACAUCAAACGACCGGACAAAACGCGCUCGUUCUUCUCGACUAGCUUUUUUUUUUUUUACACCUGUGAAAUACACCUGCUCGUAGCACCGCCCUGCAUGUGACGUCAUCUAGAACAAACCUGGAAGUGCGCAUGCGCUCUCUGACACGCGGAGUUGUUUUGAACGUGAACGAGCUUUCAAGUUGAAACACCUUAAAUAACAUUCGUGCACAGCAAACCUGGGAUGAACUAUGGUCGCAAGUUCCGUCGUUACCGAUAGAGUUCAAUGGGACUUACGACCACAGUUGGCUAACGAUGCUUUCGGGAAACGCACCCCUGAGCCGUGAUUUUUGCUCCGCACAUGCGCGUUAGCGUUCUCUUUGAUCGUGGGAAAUUUGAAAAAGUUGUUUUUCUAAGUUGCCUGACGUCAUUCCCUCAGGACAGUUUUGUAAAGGCUUCUUGUUUACCGGGAGAAAACAGUCUGAGCGAAGAAGAGCACGAGAUGAAUGUGUGAAGAAAACAAAGAAAAAUGAAGUUUGUUGUAUCGCUGAUGUAACCGGCAGAUGGCGCUAGUGAUCUUCGCGAGCGACUGCAGACAUGCGCUGUGAUACAAUCAGAUCUCAAACAUGGCACCACAAAAACAGCUUUUGUGAAGAACAGAUCUACGCUGCAUAAUUCAGCGUCAGAAGAUGAAUGAAGACAGCGAUGGCUCUGAUCUCAUUACAGGAGAGAUUCUCAGCUUGAAGAAUCAGAGCCGAGCUCCAGAAGUAACAAGACAAAUGAGGUCUUUCACAGCUCUUUCUAAUCAGGCCUCAGAACGGACCUCCGUUUACAGCAGGUGGUCCAAAACUUCACAUUUCAAAAUGUCAGAUCUCAGUGCUUAGAGCCGGGGAUCUUUCCAGAGAGUCUGCCUUCCUCCAAGUCUUGAUUUCCCAGAGGAUCUGUAGUCCUGACACGCUUGAGCUUCCCGAGCAUUUAAGCAGACAUGCCUGUUCUGCUAUCAGAGGCAUCGCUGCUGCCCGUCUCGCUCUCUCUUACCUGCAACUUUCCCAAACCUGGGGAUAUUUUACCAAACGUAUGACAGUCUUACAGAAUCAGAUGUUCCUCCGGACGAGAGCUGCCUUAAAUACCAGUGAGUCGUGCUUCAUAUCAAGGAUACUCGAACUGCAAGGGUGUCAUUUCUGCAUCUGUUGACGCUGCAGGCAGUGUUUUGUGACUUCCAGGGUCAAAGUGCACCGGCUCUUUGCGUCAGUCCUUCUGUGUCCCCAAGGUCGCUUAUUUAUCGCGGAUGACCAUGCGGCUCUAAGCUCUCAUCUUCGCUAAUCACAGCUGAAUGUUUACACUCGCCGUUCAUCACCUUCCUGAGAGCUUUCAUAUCAGCCGUGCCACAGCACAAUAAUUCAGAAAAAAAAGAGUGGGAAGGGAAGGAGGCUAAUUUGUUUUUUUAUUAUCCUUCUCAGUGACGGCUUACUGCUAGGAUUUGUGUGGUAGUUGAAGAAAUCCUUCGAAUAAUAGCUAAAGUGUAAGUGCUGUACACAUAUGAAUGCAAGAGCCACAUAUCUUAUCUGACAGCAGCGUGAUGAAUGUCACUUCUUCUCAUGUUUUUAAUCAAGCUGAAAGACAAUGCGCUGGCGUCCCGUGACACAUGCGUGUUUCCAUCAGCGGAUCAGCUCGUCUGAUACAUGCGUGUGUUUGGUCCACAGCUCCAUCCUGCUCGUCCCAUGCUAGAGUCGAUCCCUACGCCUUUGAUUUCGCAGCGAUAAACAUGAGGCCUGCAGCUCGAGGAGAGAAACGGAGAUCAGUCUUAUCUCUCUGAACAGAUCCUCACACAGCAGGUUUAUCUAAACGCACAGUUGAUUCAUCCAUCUGUGGUGAUUAUGAUUUUGUCGUCACUCCUGGCUAUUCUUUUUAAUGCUAUCUGUGAAUUGAAGCCCACAUGAGGUGUUUAGCUGCAUGUACGCUGAUAAAGCCCAUCCGUACAACAUGGCAAGUGUAACUUCUGCCUGCUGACAGCUAACCUGUAUUGUGUUGCCAACUGUAAUUGAUGGAAAAGACUCAAACCACCGUACUCAUCAUGAGCCAACUUCAAUUUACAACCUGUUAAAAGAAGAAAAGAGUGACUCUCUUUAUCUAGAGGACAAGAGUUAUUCUUCAGAAUAGGCUGCAGGUAACGUGUGCUGAUUGGCUGCAGGGUGUAUUAGGGGCGGUGGAGCGUUUGAUUGGACAGAAAUCUGUGUAGUGCAGGAUGAGUCAUCAGGAUUUUUGGUCCGUCUUUCCGGAAGAGAAAGAAAUUUUUAAUGCGUUUGUGUAGUAAAAAUGAAUUGUAUAUUAUUGUGGUACACUAGCAUUUUUUGAUACCAACUUACAAAUAUGAAUAAAAUAUUUUUUGUAAAACUUUA